AUAGCUGAUUGCACCAACAAAUAGUUGAUGCAAUAUUGACUCUGUCAAAUAAAAUUCUAGGUAGAAUUAUGAUAAUGACAUUGUCUGCCUAUAUGUCUUGACCAAAUUACGUGCCAGCAGUCGCGGUAAUACGUAGAAGACUAGUGUUAUUCAUCUUUAAUAGGUUUAAAGGGUACCUAGACGGUAAAUCAAGCCUUCACAGGGACUAAUUUACUAGAGUUACUUACGAGGGGGUAUUAAAGUACUGCAGGUGUAGAGAUGAAAUUCUGUCAUACCUCUUUUCAAAAGAAAAAUUAUGGCACAGGUAUAGGUGAAAGCAUCCCCUUAUGUGAUAACUGACGUUGAAGGACGAAGGCUUUGUGUCGCGAACAGGAUUAGAUACCCCAGUAGUCAAAGCAGAAAAUGAUGAAUGUCAUAGAUUAGAUAAAUAGUUUAUUCUAUAAAUGAAAAUGUAAGCAUUCCACCUCAAGAGUAAUUUGGCAACAUUGGAACUGAAAUCAUUAGACCGUUUCUGAAACCAGUAGUGAAGUAUGUUGUUUAAUUUGAUGAUCCGCAAAAAACCUUACCACAAUUUGAAUAUUUAUAUCUAUCUUUUUUUUUCGUAAAAAAAUAAAAAGGUAAUAUAUUUACAAGCGUUGCACGGCUGUCUUCAGUUAAUGUCGCGAGACUUUGGUUAGUUCCAUUAAAUUAACGUAAACCCUUACUUUAUUUUUAUAUGAAGUAGUUCCCCGCUAUAUUGGAUAUGAUAACA
rnacentral:rRNA from 1 species